rnacentral:lncRNA from 1 species
GAUGGUAUAAUGGGUUUUAUAGAGACUUUCUUGAUGUAAAACUAUACUUUUUUUUAAUGUGAUAUUUCCAUUUUUAUAUAAUUUAUUACCAUUUUAAGAUAGAUGUACAUUUUAAGAUAUAUGUUUAAAUCUUAAUAUACUUUUUCCAUUUUUUAAAAUGUUUAUUUCCAUUUCUUAUUUUUUUUACGUAAUAUCUAUAUUUUAUAUUUUAAAAUAGAUAUUUAAAUCUUAAUGUACUUUUUCCAUUUUUUUAAAUUGUGUAUUUCCUUAUAUUAUAUAUUUUACAUUUUAAGAUAGAUGAUUAAUGCUUAAUGAACUUUUUCCAUUUUUUAA